rnacentral:rRNA from 1 species
UGCCAGCCGCCGCGGUAAUACGGAGGGGGCAAGCGUUGCUCGGAAUUACUGGGCGUAAAGCGAGCGUAGGCGGUUAAUCAAGUUGGUGGUGAAAGCCCGGAGCUCAACUCCGGAACUGCCAUCAAAACUGAUUGACUUGAGAUUGGUAGAGGAAAAUGGAAUUCCUAGUGUAGAGGUGAAAUUCGUAGAUAUUGGGAAGAACAUCGGUGGCGAAGGCGAUUUUCUGGGCCAAAUCUGACGCUGAGGUUCGAAAGCGUGGGUAGCAAACAGGAUUAGAUA